AUUCUAGAACAUUCUCAUCACCCAUAUUUACAUUUAUUUUUAAUAACUCUCAUGUGUAAGCUGAGUGUUUUAAACUUUAGAAACUUCUGGGGGGGUGCUGAACUUGAUAAAAAUAUUCAGUAUACAACUGUUCUUUAUAGUUCACUCAUCAUUUUCAUAGAAUUAGGAUUUUAAAAUUAGAAAGUAAUUCAGGCCAUUUCCAUCUCAUGUCCCUCAAAUCCCACCUCAGUUUUGGGAUGAGGUGUCAAGUAUAAGUUUGUAAGUACACUAGUCAUUUGCAUAGCUAAGAUAAACAUCUAGAGAAGUCUAUAUGCGACUUGCUUAAAGCUGAAUGUUGAUUUACUGUUCACAUGAUUUGGGAGAUUUUGGUCACUGGGACUGAGCUAAUGGAGUUGAAGCAUUGUUGCGGGCAUUGUACCUCCAGACCAGUGUGUAACACAGAGUUCUUGCAGAUGUACGACAGAAUUGGAGAAACAGCUUCCAAUAGCGGGAAGACUCUCAGUACAACCAAGCUAUUCCUUACCUUUCUGAUUUCUGAACUUUUUCCACGUGAUACCUGCCGCUUUGAAGGCACUAAAAUAACAGAAGCAGAUAGAGCAGAAAUCCUCACUCAGAUCUUCCUGCUUCCUAUGUGUAUAACAGUUUGUGGCUUGCCGUGUCUGUUUUGUGUGUUGCAUUAUGCGUAUGUGAGUAUGUGCACAUGAUUUCCAGAAGGGAGAAGCGCACGAUACUGCCCGUGCUCGGUGACUCCUGAGAGCACGCUCCCUCUGCAUUUGGGCUCCUAGGUCGGCCUCGUCCUGUGGACGUUGCCCCUUGUUUCUUGCCAUCCACACAUUCCUGACGCCCCCCUGCUCUACUCUUUCUCCAGAGUACUUUUUCCAAACGUGAUUUGCACAUUUGUUAUGUUUAUUGUUUGUUUUCCACUUCUAGAAGUGUGCAGCCAGGCGGGAAUGUUUGAUUUGUUCACUGAUGAUCUCAGAUCUCUAGAACCCUGCCUUGCCUGUAGAGGGUGCUUGGUAAAUGUGCUCUGAAUGAAUGGCUCCAUGAUCCUCGUUUCUAAAAGAGCUAGCAUGAUUUCUCACUCAGUCCUGGUUGGACACAGGUUCCCUGGAACAGUGCUGUCGUGGUUAUCUUUUCAGGUGUCUUUGUUUCUUAACUUGAAACGCUUUGAGUUUUUUAUUGUUUUUGUUCUUCCUCAAUAGUUUUGAGUCCCUUGCAGAUAGGCUUUCAUUUUGUCCAGUCACCUGUUCAGGGAGCCUUGAGGGCCUUGGCUCACGUCUGCAGGUAACUGGUUUUUUUAUUUCUAUUUUUUUAUUUUUUAUUUUGAGACGAAGUCUCGCUCUGUCACCAGGCUGGAGUGCAGUGGUGCGAUCUCAGCUCACUGCAACCUCUGCCUCCUGCGUUCAAGUGAUUCUUCUGCCUCAGCCUUCCGAGUAGCUGGGACUACAGGCAUGUGCCACCACGCCUGGCUAAUUUUUUGUAUUUUUAGUAGAGACGGGGUUUCACCAUAUUAGCCAGGAUGGUCUCGAUCUCCUGACCUCGUGAUCCGCCCGCCUCGGCCUCCCAAAGUGCUAGGAUUACAGGCGUGAGCCACCACGCCCGGCCCUGCAGGUAACUGUUAAUGUAGGAAGUGCUGCCUCUGGGCACCUUGGCCCCAGGGUUCAUUAGCAGUUGCCCCUGGUGGGUUUUUGUUGGCUGUGAUGAAAAGUGCUUCUGUUCCCCCUCCACCAGACUCCUGCAGCUGUUUAAACAGUGGCUGUGACCCCCUGAGAAGAACCAGGGUUUCAAGGUGUGCACAUGUCUGUGUGUUUUGGUUUUCAGAGGUAUCACCUUGUGGUGACUCUCAACCUACAUGGAUUUUCAAAGAUUUAUUCAAUGUGUUUUUCAGAAAGUGUUGUGAAGAGCGAAGACUUUUCGCUCUCAGCUUAUGUGGAUCGGCGUGACCACCCCUUGCCGGAGGUGGCCCAUGUCAAGCACCUGUCUGCCAGCCAGAAGGCCUUGAAGGAGAAGGAGAAGGCCUCCUGGAGCAGCCUCUCCAUGGAUGAGAAAGUCGAGUGUGGGUAUUGAAGGGACCCACAGGCGCGCCCAGCAGCUCUUGGAAGUGUGUGUGUGUGUGUGUGUGUGUGUGUGUGUGUGUGUGUGUGUGUGUGCGUGCCUCUGCUCACUUCUGGGCCUACUGUCUAGAGAGCAGUCUUGCACAGGAGGGUUGCUGUGCUGGGUUUCGGGGUCACUGUCCCAGGGCCCCAGUUUAUGUGCUCACCAGUCACUUAGCUCUGCCAGCUGACAGAAUCUUUUGCUAGGCCCCCUUCUCUGUGCUGAGUGGAGGUAGCCUCUCAGCAUAUUUGCUGAGUAAGACAUUGUUAACUGUAAAUUACUGAAAGAAACUCAGCAAAAUGCAUAGUGUUUGAUAUGAAAGGGGCAUAAAAAUAACGAGAUUAAAUAGACCCUAACACUGUAAUUCAAGUAAGAAAUAAUUUUGCAGUUUUAAUUUGCACCUAAAGCAAACUGCAUUUUCUUCCUUUCUUGCUCUGUCACAUGCCUGCGUGGGCACGUGCGUGCACAUACGUGCAUGAACAUGAUGUGGCCCGGGUUGGUGUAUCCUUCAGCUCUGUGUUUCCUCCUUCACAAGUGUGGUUUUGGGGAGAAGUGGUUGAAUGUUGCAGAGGAGGGAGCUGCUGACCUUUGUACCUGUAAAUGGCUGUCCUCUCUGCCCCCAGUGUAUCGCAUUAAGUUCAAGGAGAGCUUUGCUGAGAUGAACAGGGGCUCGAACGAGUGGAAGACGGUUGUGGGCGGUGCCAUGUUCUUCAUCGGCUUCACCGCGCUCAUUAUCAUGUGGCAGAAGCGCCAUGGUGAGUAGAGAGGGAGGAAGGCACGGGCGCCUGGCCUGGGGCUCCAGCCUGCAGUGCCCAUUGGUGGGCUGUGGGGGACCUCCACAACUUGAGGCCGUGAGAUAGGGACUGCAUUCCAGAGUUCAUCUCAGGAUUGUUUUCCAGGCCUUGGUGACCUGGAGAACUGAAGUCGUGGGAGGUUAGUUUAUAAGCCAGCAUCUGAUUAUUCAUAGUCAGCCAUGCUUGUUGGGUGGUAAAAUACCUUAACUACUUUGUACAGCACACCACAUUUUCAGUAGCAAUUUAUGUGCUCACCAGUCACUUAGCAAAAGAUGACUUCGUGAAGGUUCGAGCAAGGAGAAGGGGACUCAUUCAUUUAAUGACUGUCUCGACUGUUGUGAGGACUGCAUCUCAACAGCCAGCAUCUGGGGAUCCCGACCUGAUAGUUUGUGUGUGGGCAUUGCUGGGUUGCUCGCUCAUGGUAACGACUCUUCUCCGAGGUUCUUUCUGUCCAGGCAGAACAGGCAUUUUUGCAUUCUGAAUAGUUAUAUUCUCGUACUUUUGGUUUGAAUGUGGAUGUGGGUUAAUAACAGACCUGAAUCUAUUUGAUCUUCCAGGUCACCUUGGGCUCUGUUUGUCAGAUCCUGUUAUCCAUAGCCUUUAGAGAGGACCUUCUGCUUUUAGCUUAUUUUGUUGCUAACUUUUUACAAACAAAGGGCUAAUUUUAAAAUGUCAGCGUUGUCAGUGGUCAGAAACCAUGUGUUUGAGUGGGUGUUGAGUGGCAGGUGGCUCUGCUGACCCAGUGGCUGGUGUGUCGGGAGGAUUUAACCUGUGUGAGGGAUUGGCGUAGAAACAACCUGUUGAGACAGUCUUGCCCAUAACCUGUCUCACACCGUAGUGUACGGCCCCCUCCCGCAAAGCUUUGACAAAGAGUGGGUGGCCAAGCAGACCAAGAGGAUGCUGGACAUGAAGGUGAACCCCAUCCAGGGCUUAGCCUCCAAGUGGGACUACGAAAAGAAUGAGUGGAAGAAGUGAGAGAUGCUGGCCUGCGCCUGCACCUGCGCCUGGCUCUGUCACCGCCAUGCAACUCCAUGCCUAUUUACUGGAAACCUGUUAUGCCAAACAGUUGUACCACUGCUAAUAAAUGACCAGUUUACCUGAAA
rnacentral:sRNA from 1 species